rnacentral:rRNA from 1 species
ACGUAGGGUGCGAGCGUUGUCCGGAAUUAUUGGGCGUAAAGAGCUCGUAGGCGGUCUGUCGCGUCGGUCGUGAAAACUUGGGGCUUAACCCUGAGCUUGCGGUCGAUACGGGCAUGACUGGAGUUCGGCAGGGGAGACUGGAAUUCCUGGUGUAGCGGUGAAAUGCGCAGAUAUCAGGAGGAACACCGGUGGCGAAGGCGGGUCUCUGGGCCUUACCUGACGCUGAGGAGCGAAAGCAUGGGUAGCCAACAGGA